rnacentral:rRNA from 1 species
CCUACGGGUGGCAGCAGUAGGGAAUAUUGCUCAAUGGGGGAAACCCUGAAGCAGCAACGCCGCGUGGAGGAUGAAGGUUUUCGGAUUGUAAACUCCUUUUGUUAGAGACGAUAAUGACGGUACCUCACGAAUAAGCACCGGCUAACUCCGUGCCAGCAGCCGCGGUAAUACGGAGGGUGCAAGCGUUAUUCGGAAUCACUGGGCGUAAAGAGCGCGUAGGCGGGAUAGCAAGUCAGAUGUGAAAUCCUAUGGCUUAACCAAAGAACUGCAUUUGAAACUGUUAUUCUAGAGUAUGGGAGAGGUAGGUGGAAUUCGUGGUGUAGGGGUAAAAUGCGUAGAGAUCAAGAGGAAUACUCAUUGCGAAGGCGGCCUGCUAGAACAUAACUGACGCUGAUGCGCGAAAGCGUGGGGAGCAAACAGGAUUAGAUACCCCGGUAGUC